rnacentral:rRNA from 1 species
CAGCCCCGCGGUAAUACGUAGGGUGCGAGCGUCAAUCGGAAUUACUGGGCGUAAAGCGUGCGCAGGCGGUUUUGUAAGACAGGCGUGAAAUCCCCGGGCUCAACCUGGGAAUGGCGCUUGUGACUGCAAAGCUAGAGUGCGGCAGAGGGGGAUGGAAUCCCGCGUGUAGCAGUGAAAUGCGUAGAUAUGCGGAGGAACACCGAUGGCGAAGGCAAUCCCCUGGGCCUGCACUGACGCUCAUGCACGAAAGCGUGGGGAGCAAACAGGAUUAGAUACCCGCGUAGUCCCUGUCUCUUAUACA